AGCAGUCGCCGCGGGAAUACGUAGGUCCCGAGCGUUGUCCGGAUUUAUUGGGCGUAAAGCGAGCGCAGGCGGUUAGAUAAGUCUGAAGUUAAAGGCUGUGGCUUAACCAUAGUACGCUUUGGAAACUGUUUAACUUGAGUGCAAGAGGGGAGAGUGGAAUUCCAUGUGUAGCGGUGAAAUGCGUAGAUAUAUGGAGGAACACCGGUGGCGAAAGCGGCUCUCUGGCUUGUAACUGGCGCUGAGGCUCGAAAGCGUGGGGAGCAAACAGGAUUAGAUACCCCGGUAGUCCCUGUCUCUUAUACA
rnacentral:rRNA from 1 species